UACGAAGGGGGCUAGCGUUGUUCGGAAUUACUGGGCGUAAAGCGUGCGCAGGCGGCUUCCCAAGUCAGUGGUGAAAGCCCGGAGCUCAACUCCGGAACUGCCAUUGAAACUGUGAAGCUCGAGGACGAGAGAGGUGAGUGGAAUUCCCAGUGUAGAGGUGAAAUUCGUAGAUAUUGGGAAGAACACCGGUGGCGAAGGCGGCUCACUGGCUCGUUUCUGACGCUCAUGCACGACAGCGUGGGGAUCAAACAGG
rnacentral:rRNA from 1 species